AAGCUCGUAGUUGAAUUUCGGGGUUCUACCGUUGGUCGGGCUAACCAGUCUGUACUAGCGUGUAGAAUUCCUACCUUCUGGGGAACCAUUAUGUUAUUAAUUUAGCGUGGUGGGAAACCAGGACUUUUACCUUGAAAAAAUUAGAGUGUUCAAAGCAGGCUUACGUCUGAAUACAUUAGCACGGAAUAAUAAAAUAGGACGGUGGUCCUGUUUUGUUGGUUUCUGAAUCACCGUAAUGAUUAAUAGGGAUAGUUGGG
rnacentral:rRNA from 1 species